rnacentral:misc_RNA from 1 species
UGGUUCUGGCAUCGAUGAAGAACGCAGCGAAAUGCGAUAAGUAAUGCGAAUUGCAGAAUUCCAGUGAGUCAUCGAAUCUUUGAACGCACAUUGCGCCCUUUGGUAUUCCGAAGGGCAUGCCUGUUCGAGCGUCAUUAUCACCCCUCAAGCCCCCCUGGCUUGGUGUUGGACGGUUUGGUGGAGGCCCGUUUUACCGGGUCGCUGCCCCUCCCAAAGACAAUGACGGCGGCCUCGUUGGACCCCCGGUACACUGAGUUCUUCACGGGACACGUACUGGACACAAGGGUGCGCGGGGCACGGUCUGCCUCCCCUCUAGGGAGAAAUUUCUCAAGGUUGACCUCGGAUCAGGUAGGGAUACCCGCUGA